AGCGAACGUUAGCGGCGCGCUUAACACAUGCAAGUCGCACGAGAAAGGGAGCAAUCCCCGGUACAGUGGCGCACGGGUGAGUAACACGUGGAUGACCUUCCCGAGAGUGGUGGAUAACCUGCCGAAAGGCGGGCUAAUACAGCAUAGGACCACGACGCCUUGGUGACGUGGUGAAAGCGGGCCUCUGUACACAAGCUCGCGCUCUUGGAUGGGUCCGCGGCCCAUCAGCUAGUUGGCGGGGUAAUGGCCCACCAAGGCUACGACGGGUAGCUGGUCUGAGAGGAUGAUCAGCCACACUGGAACUGAGACACGGUCCAGACUCCUACGGGAGGCAGCAGUGGGGAAUCUUGCGCAAUGGGCGAAAGCCUGACGCAGCGACGCCGCGUGGGUGACGAAGGCCCUCGGGUUGUAAAGCCCUGUGGGGAGGACGAACCGCUUCAUGGAUAACACCCAUGGAGCCUGACGGUACCUCCUUAGCAAGCAUCGGCU
rnacentral:rRNA from 1 species